rnacentral:lncRNA from 1 species
CACAAAGGUAGGUAAUUGUUAAAAUGGUAAAGAGAAACAGUUGCGUAUUUACGGGAAUUUAUAUUUUAUCGCUCGAAAGUUGGUAUUUAUAAAAUUGACGCUGAAGAUAACAGUUGUACUUAUAGCCUAGGGCAAUUAUGAUAAUUAUAUAGAAGGCUUUAAAUAGAUGACUCAUUCACUUCAUAUUGUGGCAAUAUAUUCGGUUUUUAAUAUAUAUAUACAUACAUGCACAGUCGUUCAUACUUGGUUCUUGGACAAUACGGCGGUUAAGAGAAUGGAAAAGAAAAUUCUAGAUUUCUUAGAAAAUUUCAAUAAUACUGAAAAAAUAUGCAUAGACCUUCCGCCUAUGCUGACGUAACAUUUGAAGGAUUGGAAACGAUGAUUUAAGUAUUGUCGAGUUCAAAGAGUGGUACGAGUAUCUUUAGAACUGAAUAAAUUUAAAACAAUUGUUACGGCAUAUAUCUACUGUAUCUCCAGUUUCUUCGUAACUUAUAUUUAAAGACUGUUGUUUUCUUUCAUUAAUUUUUUUUCAAUAAUUUUUUUAAUAAUUCCCUGAAUUAAUUUGUAUAUUAUGCUAUCAACCUUUUGAAUGAUUUAACAAAUCUUCAAUGUAUAAGUUUUGAAUUAUGAUUUCAUAAUUUCUACAUUCACUAUUUCAGAAACCAUUUGUGCCAGUUGUUGCUUCAUAUCGUCUUAAGAUACCAUAAAUUUGAAAUAUUGCAAAAGUAUGCCACUGCAUUUGAAACGCCUUCGCAAAUAAAUCGUGUCAUCAUAGUAAAGGGUUCAUUGAAGAAAUUCUUCGUAUCGCUGUAGUAUAAAUUAUAUGAUAUGAACAAUGUCGAUAUAAUAUAAACUGCACCGUUAUUUGUCUUUCAUUAUAAUUUAUUAUCUUCGCAUAAAUAGUUGGUUGAAGGUAAAACAAGCUUCUAUUCGCAAUACAGAUAUUUCUUUGUUUGUGUUCAUAAAGAUACAAAUUUGCAUAAACACAUAAUACAUUAUUAUAUAAUAAAUUAUUUUAAAAAGAACGUGUUACAAAUAUAAACGACACAUCAUAUAACUAUGAACCUAAAACGUUACUCACAAUCGGGUAAAGUACUUCCUUGCUUUCUAAAUAAUUGACUAAACAUCGAUGGCAGUAUACGGACAAUGCGUUGUUUAAUUACUCCUGGCUGAGAAUGAUAUUUCCUGAUGAUGAGUCAUCCGACGUUAGUAAAGUUCUGAGAGCUGAUUAACUGUAAUAAAUCAUCUCACGUUGCAUCGUAAUUCGAUGCUUUUCGUCUCUACAUAGAUACGUACGAUAGUAGUCAGUCAAUGUUUGCUCAUGAUAAUAUGUCCAUAUUCGCGAUUCUCUUUUACCUAUGCGAAAUAAGCUUUAUAUCGUACGAAAAGUAGCUAACUUAUUUGCCAUUUUCCUUGAAUCAACAUCAUGUAGAAUGUAGAAUACUUUGUUAGUAGAAACAAUACUGCAUCAGAUACUCCAUGUAUUUUCAAUCUGUCAUAAGGAGUUAAUAAUUCUAAUGAUAGUACAUUAACUUUACCACUCAGUCUGGUGUAUAAUAUCUUAAACUCUAAGUCUUUUCUGUUAAUACGUAUAUUUAUAGAUAUAUUCGUUAUCCUUCGUUAAUUUCUCAUUCUCUGCUUAUUUAUCAUCCAUCUUCUGCUAUCUCAAUCUGCCAUCUAUCUAUACGCGCACGUAUCUGCAACGUAUAUCAUCCACAGAAUGUUUUAAUAAGAAGAUUUAAUAAUCAUCUGCAUUGGUGAAUUCACGCACUGCUCGUUUUACGACCUUGGUACGUUGCCUUUGUUAUACCUCAUCGUUUAAAGAUACGGCGCGUUUGCAAUAAUAAUAUGUAGGCAUACCUAUAUGACGCAUCGCUCGUCGUUCGUUUGACGACUAACAGGACACGUUGCACAGAAAUUAAACAAAACGUAAAACGACGAAAGCGUUACGCGAGAUCGGAUCUCCUACAAUUUAUUUAAUACGCCAUUGUAUUAACUUUCGCAAGGUUCAUAAUUAAUUAAGAAAUAAUUCGAGGCAAUUCAUAAGAAUUAUUCAUAAAUGAUAGAUUAAUAACAAUCGUGCGUUCGGUUUUAUGUUCCAUGGAUGGAAUUGACUCGUUUGCGACUAAACGUUGGGAUUUAAUCUUUAAACUUUGUUUGUAUUAAGCGCGCAAUUAAUGUUAAUUGUAUGCAAAAUUGAGGAAUGGGAUUACAGAUAAUACAAGUGCAUUUCACAUUAUUUAUGUAGAGUAUUAAACUGUUUGAAAAUGAAUUUAUUAUUACAAGGUAAUAUGGUAUAUUCUCUAGGAAUUUGUUGAUUAUUGUAACGUAUUAGUAAGUAUAGUAUUGCAAUAAUCUCUAAGUUUGUAAGAAAGAAAUAAUAAUUGUAAAAUUUUGAAAUUGUAUCUACUCUGAGUUAAAGAUUGACUAAGGUAUGCCGUCCAUUUUGAAAUAUGAAAAGAAAAAAAAUGAAGAAAACUCGCAAGGAGCUUUAAAACCGUAUAUUUUUUCUACAGUACCGUUACGAGUAGCUCGAAAUAUCAGAAAAUAAAUCAACGGAACAAUGAACGUGUACAGAAGCGAAUCGAAUCGAUGCCCCGCUUGCUGAUGUUCUUCGUCGAGACUCUGUUCUAACAUUAUAGCCAUUGUUGUGAUUACUUUACGCGCGUGAAAAGUUCAUUUUUUAUCAAUCCAGUGACGCUUGGUUUUGACGCGAUUAUUAAGCACUAAAUUUCGGUUUCCCCUUUUGAUUAAUGCUACUUCAAUAAAUGUCAAUGUCAGAAAAAAACCCUUGGCAAUUAUAUUCCUAUAGAUAAUCUUAUAAUUCGCGAAAAUUAGCGAAUAUUCGUUAAAUCACGCGUGAAACUGGCAUAUCGUGAUAAAACGGCGCUGUUUAGCCUUCAAAAUCGUUCAGCAAGAUUGACGUGGCGUCCUCGCGACAGUCCUAUUUGGAACUAUAGUGGUACCAAUAGCAUAUUCAGUUAGUAACUUGUGAAGCGGCUCUGAAACGGUAGUACCUCGUGGCUAGACGUGCGCGAAAUGAGAACUGGUUGGGUAUUAAUUAACCAUUCUAUAAUUAACACGAUGCCUACGUGGUAUUUUUAAUCCUUUUGCUUUUAUUUUUGGCUUCGGAUCCUUGCGAAGAGAAUAGAAACAUGCAAUUCAUUCCGCGAAAGUAUUCGAAAACAUUGGUAUGUAAUUUAAUGGAACGGGAUGUAUGAGUUAGAGCGAUUAGAUUUUGGCAUAUUCGACAAAUACACUUGAUUGUUGGUGAGAAGAAAACCAUAAGCAGAUAUUUGUCCAUUCAUUAUUGUUCUGGAAGAGAUACAGCGAGACAAACAUGUGCCGGAGUCAUUGACUGAUGGUACCAAAAUCUUCUCGGAAUGCAAAGAAGUAUUUCUUCGUCUCUGGCAUUUGAACCAUUAAACAUUUAUUUAGACUCUUCAAUUAAACGAAUCGUUUAAAAACAAAUAAUUUGUUUCUAGUAUGUAUUCGAAGACUAAAAUGCCCAAUUUUAUUACACGAGUGUUCCUUUAAACGCAAACAAAAUUAUGCAAUAGCUUAUAACGUCCAAACAUCGGUUUGUUCGGUUCGAUGUAUGUAGUACCAAUUCGACAAUCAGCAUUAAAAUUUCACUUGUUGUAAUACGGAACACGAAACAAUAAUUACAAUUUUAAGUAAUCGGUCACGCGUUCGAGCGAAAUCGAUUUCUACGGAGCAAACACGAACAAAGCAAGAUGUUUGUCCACUGUGUAGUUAAUUAACUGUGAGGUUAUUCGCGAGUUGCAGUACGUGAUAAUAAUCAGCAUUUUGUCGAUAACAAUUGGAUCAAAAAUUCAUUUAUUGCUGACGAUAAGUUUGUUCAAAAUUGUUUUAUUAAUUUAUGUUAAGUACACAAACAUAUUCUUUAAUUGAUAAUUUUGAAAUUUUCGAUGUCCAAUUCUUAUAGAAAGUAUUAUCGAAUGCAUGCAAAAGUAAUACGUUAUAUAAAUUUGACGUAUAAGAAGCUUAGUUUUAUCGUUCCAAUAAUCAUUACGUUCCGUUCCUUUAAUUAACAUACAUUCUAUAUCUCCAAGCAAAAUUAUUACGUCUGCUGCGUCUUAUUACCUCUUAAUUGCUAUACGUAGAAUUUUUUGUAUCAUAUAAGAUUAAGACCUUUAUACCGUAUCCUCGAGUAGUGCAUUUGUGGAAGAGUUUGCAGCAAUAUCUAAAUGGUAUUGAGUUUACCUUGACUCGGACAAUUGCGCCUGUGACUGAUCUGUGGCCUAGAUUACGUAAAUUCCGAACACCAUAAGCAAACGUAAUACCUUAAUUAGUUCUAACGUGAUAUCAUUGAUAAAGUAUGGUCGAUUUCUUAAUCUCAAGUAACUAAGAUUGUCAUUAAGAUGGCAUUACAGUAGAACAGCGGUUCGUAAUUCUUUUAUCUAAAAAAUUUCAAUAUAUUUUUCAUACAAAUAGAAAUUCAAGAUGAUAAAUUUAGUAUGAGGAAAGCAAUGAACAAAUUCAUUGCAAAUAAAUGAGCAAAUGAACAAUGCCACGACAAAAGCUUGUGGAUAAUUAUACAUACUUGUUAAUGAAAACCAAUAACUUCUGCCAGCUCGUUAAUGGAUGACCUGACUGAAUUUUCUAGCAUUAAGCGGACAAAUGAAUUAUCCUUUCGAGUUGGAUAUACGUUAUAGCAGCUACGAGGCUCGAGAGUGGCUACGUUUAUGGCUUUAUUUCAGAGCAGAGUAUUACCAUUUAACUGCAUCUGUUUGCAAUGGAUCGAGGAGAAAUUUCUUCUGGAGACGAGUUACGGAUAUACACCAACCAUACAGGACCGCGCCGAUGACUAUUGGUCGAUUCACGGAGGGCACGAGGUCAUCGUUGGCAUCGGAGUUUCAUGGAUAUUUGUGGCCUGUCCCUACUCGAACGACGUCGAUGAUGCAUUAUUUAUACACGGUCGGUUGUAUCGCAUACAUCGUCAUCAUCGAAGUGACGCAUUAUCGAUGAGAAUCCACGCGUCGACGUUGCUGUAGGAACUUCCUUGAGACGUCUCAGCCACCGGAUAUCGCCGAUAGAGACAAUUUUUAUUCGAAUUUCCGACCACGAUUCCACCGUAUCUAUCCAUUCUUCUGUGUAUCUCGAAUCGUGCCGCCUCGUAGAUCGAAUAAAUUUGAUCGUUUCGUGGAUCCCGAUUGGAUCUGACUCCAUUGUGAAAUUGUCUUUGGUCUAUUU